GACGAAGGGGGCUAGCGUUGUUCGGAAUUACUGGGCGUAAAGCGCGUGUAGGCGGUUAUCCAAGUCGGGUGUGAAAGCCUUGAGCUUAACUCAAGAAAUGCACUCGGUACUGGGUGACUAGAGGACCGGAGAGGAUAGUGGAAUUCCCAGUGUAGUGGUGAAAUACGUAGAGAUUGGGAAGAACACCAGUGGCGAAGGCGGCUAUCUGGACGGUUUCUGACGCUAAGACGCGAAAGCGUGGGGAGCGAACAGG
rnacentral:rRNA from 1 species